GCAAGAGGGGGUGGGAUUUUAUGUUAUUUUAUUUAGAAAAUAAUUACACUUUGAAUGAAAACGAUUCAGCAUUUCACGUUGGAGUGAUAUGCGCUCUACAGAAAAAGCCUAAUUUAAUCAUAAGAAGGCUUCAAGCCUCAUACCACAGUUGCGUGCUAACCGUCAGAAUGGACAGUAACAUAAACUCUCAGUGGAGCGUGACACUGGAGGAGGGAACAGAGGAUGAGAAUUUGGUUGGAGAGACGUGUCAAUCCGGAGAUGUGAUAUACACAUAUGAAUGGCCAGUCAUGUAUGACCCGUGGAAUAUGGAGAGCACCCUUCCAGCCGGUCUGUUAGAUAAGGCCGAUGACGAAUUAGUCGAAAGCGAAGAUUAUAGCACUGCAAAAACCAUCGUAGAAACUCAGGAACGGGACGUGCAGACGGAUGCCUGCACGGAAGAGAGGGGUGUCAACACCUCAGAAGACUGGGAGUCAAAUAUGCGUUCAGUAGAGGAAUACAGUGCAGUGUUGGCUCUGCAGUAUGAGGCUCUGGUGAAGCAGCAGCAGGCAGAGGAAGCAGAGCAUGGCUUCCACGUCGACAACCUGGAGAAGAAAAAAGAGGAGAAGAAGCACCAACACCAGGGCCUCAUUGAUAAGAUUGAGUCCUUACAUGUGAAGCUGGAGCUCAACAGCAGCAAAACCACCAGAAAGAAUUUCAUGGCUAAACGACAAGAACUGACAGCUGAGAAAGAGCGAAUGGAAGAGGAGAGGAAACGGCUUGCACAGGAGUUGGAAGAUUCAGACAGAAAACUGAAAAUGCUGACUGAGGAGCAGAAUCAAGACAAGCUGACCUGGGAACAAGAGAUUGCUAGUCUCCGUAAUGAAAUGGAGAGAUUGCACAGACAGGCGGAUGAAGCCAAUCAUACUGCAUUAAAAGAUGAGAUUGGCGCUCUAGAGACCGAGAGAGACGUCUGUGUUUCUCUUGUAGAGGACUGGAUCGAAGACGCAGAGCGAUACCUCGAUACACUCAGGCUGGACCCAUCCCAGCAGCACUUGCAGCAGCAGUUGGAGUGGGAGAAGAACAUAACAGUGAUACGGAGCAGUCUGAGUGUUUUACAGAAUAAGUUUAAUGAAAACCUUCAGUUGCUUCACAAAGGACAUCCACUGGACAGUCUGCCCUCAGUUUCCCCGCCUUCCCUACCUCAUGUGCCAACAUUGGAGUUACUGAUGAGUCCAAUUGUGCAGUCUGUGCCUAACCCCUUCCACCAGGACCACACCCUGCCCCCUGCAUCUGUGGCCACGCCCCUUCACCAGCUGCAGCAAAUCACAGGGGACUCUCACAGGGUCACCCCGCCUCUCACUGUACCAUCUCCCCAGAACCUACCCACAUCAGCUGCCCACCCUGGCCUCCUGACCCACGGCAUUCUCAUGUCAAAUGCUCACAUACCUGUAUUAAUGCCCAGCAGUGCCAUUGCAACUGCUCACACACCUGUUGCCCCUCAUAUUGGCAUGGUACCCACUCAGUCAUCUACAGGAGCUCCUCACUUUGCCAAAGCUGUUCCAAAUCAGCCAGUCACCCCAGCUUCCCACUCUGGCUCUCCCAGUCCGAACACACACGUUCCAGCCACACACAUACCUGUCCAAGGCUCUCACUCUAAUCUACCAGCUACGUUCGUGGGCACUGCAGCCAGCCACCCAUCCAAUCAGCCAGCCCAGGGUCUGGUCCGUGCCCCCCACCCCGCUGUUCACCAGACCAUCCCACCCAACGUCUCCCCUCAGCCGCUACCCAGUAACCCCCCUCCUGCUGGCAAACUGGACAAGCUUCUAGAGAGACUCGGAGCCAGUUUCCCACAAUGCACCAGGGAUCAGCUGACAGAGAUUCUGCAGCAGAUAAAAGCAGCACGUGGCACCAUGGCAGGAAUGUCUGUAGAUGACCUCACGCAACAGGUCGCCCUGAGACUGGCACAAAACGAAAGAGCACCUCUUGGACCUAUUGGGCCGCCUUCUGGAGCCAGGGCCUUUCCCAGUGGUGCAGUCCCAGUGCAGCAACCCGCAGGCCAGUUCCAGAGAGCCGUACGCCCCCAUCUCAGGCCUCCUGUGGCCCAGGUCUUCCACACACGGCCCCCCCAGGCUACAGCUCCCAGUAACUACAAACUGUGCUUAAUGUGCCAAAACUACGUGGAACCAGGGAGCCAGUACAACACGAACUGCUCUCACACGCUGCACAAAGAUUGUAUCAGCGUUUGGCUUCAGUCCAGUAAGAAGAAUUCCUGUCCUUUCUGUCCGUCAAAGUAAAGCCCCAACCUACCAAAAGAAACCUGCUUGCUCUUACUGCAGGUAUAUGAGGGUACACAAGAGAUCAGAGAGACAGUUACUUCAAAAGGACAACGGAGCAUGUUAACUGAAAAGAGAUGAAUUUGGAUUGGGCUUUUUGUUUACUAUCAGUCACUGAAUGUCUAACUCUACAGUUUGUCGAGGUGUAACAGUUCACACUAUUCACGGUUUGGUUUGUAUCUUGGUUUCUGGGCCAUAGUUUGGUUUGUCUGAUGGUUUUAAAUUGAACCAACUCAGAACUAAACCUCUUAGUUUUUUCUUUCCUUUUAAACAUAUACGCAUUUAACUCGAAAUGAACAAACUUCAUGCAAACAACAAAAAUGCUCUUCAAAAAGAAAAAAAAAGAAGAUUUAUCUUCAGCACCAGUCUUUUAGAAAAUGUAUGUAAGAAAUUAAACUUGAGCUACAGUAAUUUUCAGUCUUUUCUUCAUGACAGUGAUUUGAAGAAACUUAAACAUCAGUAUCUUUUUCGGUUCUUUAUCAAGCAAAUGACAGCAAGAUUUCCAUGGUUGUAAGUGACUUCAAAACCAAAGUACUGCCAUAUCGUGGAUUUGAAUGAGGUAGGAGGGUCCUCAAUUUCGGGCAUACCAUUUCAGCAGAGAAAGAAGCAUGUGACGACUGCAAAAUAAUGAUCAGAUUAAUGUUAUUCUUAAUGAUCAAAAGUGCAAACAGUGUGGAAUGUUCUCCUACACUAGUUAUAUGUAAGGCUGUCUCAUCCCAUUUGGAAAAAAAUAACCUCACUUGCAAGAGCUGAAGGGGGGGGGGGGGGGGGCGGAGAAUGAACUGAACUCAGGACAAUGGAAUUGCGAUUUUUGGUUUCGGUACAAAACCGUUACAUCCUUAACAGUCAGGGAUAUGGCAAAGGAUAUUUUAAGAUGAGGGUUAAUCUGAUGACAAUUGCCUUUUGUGAGGAGGUUUUUUUUUUCAUUUCCAGCUUUUGUCUUUCUGUCAGCUGACUCGGUACUAAGGCCUUCUGUGCUGGUUACUUUUCUCUGUUCUAUCAGGCGCACUGUGAAUUCAGCUUUUAAGUUUUCAGACAUCAAGAUAUAGCAUACAAUAUAUUCCAUAUGAAGAUAUAUAAAUAAUUUUGUGCAUGUGUGUGUAUUCCACUAGGAUGUUCAAACUCAUUUUUGGCUAUCAUAAAACAAAGAGCAUACUCUUGUACU